GUGAGGAAUAUUGGUCAAUGGGCGGGAGCCUGAACCAGCCAAGUCGCGUGAAGGAAGAAGGAUCUAUGGUUCGUAAACUUCUUUUGCAGGGGAAUAAAGUGCAGGACGUGUCCUGUUUUGUAUGUACCCUGAGAAUAAGGAUCGGCUAACUCCGUGCCAGCAGCCGCGGUAAUACGGAGGAUCCGAGCGUUAUCCGGAUUUAUUGGGUUUAAAGGGUGCGUAGGUGGUUUGAUAAGUCAGCGGUGAAAGUUUGCAGCUUAACUGUAAAAAUGCCGUUGAAACUGUCGGACUUGAGUGUAAAUGAGGUAGGCGGAAUGCGUGGUGUAGCGGUGAAAUGCAUAGAUAUCACGCAGAACUCCGAUUGCGAAGGCAGCUUACUAAGCUACAACUGACACUGAAGCACGAAAGCGUGGGGAUCAAACAGGAUUAGAAACCCCUGUAGGCC
rnacentral:rRNA from 1 species